CUUAAUUAAGAUGAGGAAGACUCGGCAAUGGUAGAUGGAGAUGCUGAUGAGUUCCAGAAGGGCUCUCUGCAUUGGAGGAGUUGGGUAGGCAGUGCAAUGGAGCAUCUAAACUGGUGUGGAACAUUUCAUUACCGAGCACUUUAAUCAUGCUCAGAGCUUCCCUGGAGUGGCUGCUCAUGUACCCUGAUCUCCGGGGUCUGCCUCUUCUGGUGCAGUUUUGGGUGCAUUUAGUGGGUGAAUGGCUCUGCUUUCCCCCAGCGCAACUAAAGAGGGCAUGUCCAAGACAACACCUUCCAGAGCUUGCCCUGGACUCUGUCAGCUGUGUGGCUUUUAUAACCAUCAUCAGCAUGCCAGGCAUCCCUCUAGUGUCCAAGUUUUCCCCUGCAGCCCAGUGAUUUACAUAGCAUCCUUUCUGUAUGCAACAGCCUCCUCUGUUCUCUGUACCUAAACCCUUCCUUUUCUUUAAUAGGGAGCUUGAAUGUCACCUCUUCCAGGCACUGCUCACCCCACUCCAUGCUCUCUGCCUCUGCAUGCCUUCUGCUUUCCCGGGAAAACUGCUGUGAUCUACUCUGAUGGGUAGGAGCAGAUGUGGAAGCCUCAGCCUGGAGUCCCAUGCUACUCAACUGAAAAUUCUGCUCACUGUGGCCCCUCUUCCAGAGCCCGAACCCUGAACCAUGUGGGUUGUGAGUCACUCACAUCUGGCACCUCGAUGAGGGAAAUCUGGAAAAGACUUUGCCUAGAGCAAAAGACGAAGAUUUCACUGGAUAGGUGGGGGAAAAAUUUCACUGGACAGGUUGGGAAUUUCACCACAUGCAAAGCCCAUGGUCAGCUGCAGAAAUCUCGAUCUGAAUAACUUCAAACCCUGAAUUGGGUAUCCAAUCAUACUGCUGAACUCACCAAAGGAAGAAGUUCGGGUUCCCAUUUGUUUUCAUAACACAUAACUGUUUGUGGAACAAUAGGAGAGUCUUCCAGCGUGAAGUCUUCACUGGUUUGCACACCUUUUGUACACUGGAUUUACUGGCAAUUACAUAACUUGAGAACAAUUCUGACAGAGAGAGAGACAAAAACAUAAAUGAUGAGGGUUGGCUGCCUCCUGCAUCCGGGGGCAUGUGUCCCAACCAGGGAUCGAACCAAGACCUCCUAGUUCAUGGGUCAAGCUCAACCACUGAGCCACGGUGGCUGGACAACAAACCUUGUCUCUAUAAGUGCUGAAGAUGAUAUUGGAAUUUUGUAAAUUAUACUGUAUCACUGUAUAAAAUAUUAAGUUUUCAUCUAAUAAAUAUUAUAAGUUGAAUAUAAUGAUUUAAAAUAAAAUGCUUACCUUU